rnacentral:tRNA from 5 species
GCCGGCGUAGCUCAGCUGGUAGAGCAGCGGUUUUGUAAACCGCUGGUCGGGGGUUCGAUUCCUCUCGCCGGCU